AGAAAGGAUUAUUUGAGGACACCAAGAGGUGACCAUCAGCAAGCCCAGGAGAGAGGCCUCAGAAGAAACCAGACCUGCUGAUUCCUUGAUCUUGAACUUCUAGCCUCCGGAACUAUCCAACUUGAAUGCUUCCUGAUUAAAUAUAUACAGGAGUGAUUUCAGAGGAAUUUAAGUUUUGGAUCAUUCUUUUGAGAAAGAAAGAAAAGUACCCUUUUAAAAGAGUUUCUUAUUUUAAAUAUACAGGUGGCUCUUGAACAACACAGGUUUGAACUGCAUCAUUCCACUUAUACACAGACUUUCUUCUGCCACUGCCACUCCUGAGACAACAUGACCAAUCUCUCCCCUUCCUCCUCCUCAGCGUACUUUCAACAUAAAGACGACGAGGAUAAAGGCAUUUAUGAUGAACUACUUCCACAUAAUGAAUAAUUGAACAAAGGAGAGAAUUGUGAGAGUGAGAAAAAGUGAGACAAAGAAGAAAAACUAUAAAUCAGCAAAAUACAGUGCCAAGAGCUCUGGACCACAAAUCAGAAGACCUGAGCCCUAAUUCCUUUCCAGUCAUUGGAUUUGUUCGUCGCUUGCCAAAAUAGCAGCGAACUCUCUGUCAAACUGCAACUCAUUUUAUCGGAGCAAAAACUGAACAAAGAACUGCUAUCAUUUCUGAGGUCAGAGGCAGUGCAGCUUGUGUUACAACUCAAAAGAGUAAUACUCUGAAAAAAGAAAAAAAAAGAUGGCGCUGAAAAUAAACAUGUUCAGCAGCCAUUGUGAUUCAACUUACCCAGAUGUGCUUUUCAUGAGAUGGAGAAGGACGGAUGGAAAAGAAAAGCACACAAAUGUUAAUGGAUACAGUUCAAUCCAAAGAAAACCAUGGAAUAAAACAAGAGCAUUAUUUAAGAUGUGAGAAAGCUCAGGUAUGAGAAAGACAUGGUGCCAUUUUGUAUUUCAUCAUGACACACAUACUCACUGCGUCGAAAAGCAUAGUCAGGCUGAGGGUAGUUCUAAUAGUUGACCAAUAAGUCUAUGUCUUGAGUAUGAGCCACUCUGAAACAUGCAUGACCACAUUUUCCCAGCCUCGAGUACAUCCCAGGAGGAAAUCAAGAAAUCUUGGUAAAGGACAUUCUUUACCUCAGGCCACUUCCAUGCUAUUUUACCAGUAGAAACAAUAACUUAUUAAUUGGCACUUAGAUUUUUAUAUAGCUUUAUAAGCCUACUGCUAAGGCCCAAGAAAAAAGAACAGCAGACAUUAGAAUGGGCAGCAACUUGAAGUGAAGAAUGUCCUUCCUAGUUUGAGGAUCUGAAAAUCUAGAUUCUAUUUCUCAUACACAGUUUGGUCAAAAUUAUUAGCAGAUUCUGAUCUUCAAUUUCCUCAACACAAUCCCUGGCAAUAGAAAUGUGUAAAGUCCAUUCCAGAUCCAUAAUGUUAUUAUUCCAACCAAUGCUGUAAUAAUAAUUACUAUUUUGGUAAACAUAUAUGGCUAGUAAUCAGAACAUAAGAAAGUGUAAAAAUGUUCUAUUCCUCUUCUUCGGUGGCCAUAUUACUUCCUUCUCUAUUUGACUGGCAAAAUAAACAUCAAGUUUGUGUCUAUUGUGGCUCUUUCAGUGGUAGAAAUAUUUAAUUAUUUGAAUAGGUGUUUAUAAAUGUUGUUUUUGGGGAAACAUCCAUAAAUUAUAUUGGUUCACCAAUAUUACCAGAAAUCAUCACUAAAACGACAUUGAUACACAUAUAGCUUUUGAAGAACCCACUUGCUCCCUGGAUGUAGUAGAGGCAUUGAGAAAAUAUGGAAGUUAAAUAAUUCAACAAAAAUUCAUGAGAGUAUUGUUUUAAAAAUAUAUUACAAG
rnacentral:lncRNA from 10 species